AUCCCGAUCACUCUCGCGCGUCUUGCGUCACUGAGUCUGUGAUCUAGAGGAGGCGCGAUUCAGUUCCCUCUGCUUUCACUCAUUCAACAAGCUGUGCAUUUUCUGAGAGGUUCUGGCAGGUUAACAGCAGAAAACAGCCCUAUCACUGGUCAGAAGAUAUGGAGUUGGGGAAAUUGAACCGAACCUCUGCAACCACACGGUAACGCGAGCGUCGAUGAGGAGAGGACUGAAGAAUGGCUGCUCCUGACCUCCUUGAUCCUAAAACAGCCACUCACAACUCCAAACCACGCCUGUCGUUCUCAGCUCAGCCUGUACUGCUGAAGUCUCCAGAUGACUUUGAGCCUCGUGUGACUGUUAUGCGCUGGAAAACAGUGCUGAGCGUCUUCCUGCUGGUGGUGCUGUACUUGAUUAUCGGAGCAACUGUGUUUAAAGAGCUGGAACAGCCUCAUGAGACAUCCCAGAAACUGGCCAUCCUGGUAGAAAAACUGGAAUUCCUUGAGCAGCAUCCAUGUGUCAACUCAUCAGACCUGGAAAACUUAGUGAAGCAAGUGGUGUCAGCGUUACGAGCAGGAGUGAACCCUUCAGGAAACUCAUCUAAUCAGAGCAGUUUAUGGGAUCUCAGCAACUCCUUCUUCUUCGCUGGAACAGUUAUUACAACCAUAGGAUUUGGGAAUAUCUCACCUCACACAGAGGGUGGACGCAUCUUCUGUAUUAUCUAUGCCCUGUUGGGAAUUCCUCUGUUUGGGUUCUUGCUGGCAGGAGUGGGAGAUCAGCUUGGAACAAUCUUCGGAAAGGCAAUUGCUAAAGUGGAGGGGAUGAUUGAUAAGUGGAAUGUGAGUCAAACCAAGAUCCGUGUGAUUUCUACCGUUCUUUUCAUUUUGUUUGGUUGUCUCCUUUUCGUCACCCUGCCGGCCAUCAUAUUCAAACACAUUGAGGGCUGGACUGCAUUGGAGUCCAUCUACUUUGUCGUCAUUACCUUGACAACCAUCGGCUUCGGAGAUUUUGUCGCAGGCGAGGGCGAGCGACGCCAGCACGAAGAGAACAGUGGUGGUUCUGAGUUGGAGUACCUGGACUACUACAAGCCCCUGGUGUGGUUCUGGAUCCUGAUUGGUUUAGCGUACUUCGCUGCUGUUCUCAGUAUGAUUGGAGACUGGUUUCGUGUCAUAUCCAAGAAAACAAAAGAGGAGGUUGGAGAAUUUCGAGCUCAUGCUGCUGAAUGGACUGCUAAUGUCUCCGCUGAGUUUAAAGAGACACGCCGGCGACUGAGUGUCGACAUUUAUGACAAAUUCCAGCGUGCUGCAUCAAUCAAGCGCAAACUGUCCGCUGAAAUAAACCUCAGCCCACCUGUCAAUCAGCAGAUGACACCAGGGAAACGUGCACGUUCAGUUAACCUUGGAGAUGAGAGAGAGGUGUAUCCCUACACGUUUGCACGAAACGGAAGCUUAUUCCUCAACGGUCUCAUACCGGAUUAUGCUGACUUUAGGGAUAUCACUAAAAUACAAACAAAAUGAACUGGAACUAAAGAUGUUCACUGAUAAACUGUGAAAAGAUAAGAUGCAUAAAAAAGAAUACAACAAAAGAAAAAAUAAGGGGGCAAAGAAAAGACAUUUUAUAUAAAAGAAAUAUGCCCUAACUUUUAAUGUGGACAAAAAUCAUUGUUUUCCAUUGACGGCCUUGCAUAAGUAGCCAUGUAUUCUAAUUAAUAAUUUUGUUAGCCACGUAUAACAAGUUAUUUGAAUUUAUAUGAUUACAGAUUAAUAUACUGUAGAUGUUUCACAAGCUUUCUGUGGCAAGGCUCUACAAGGCAUGACAGUCUUUUUGCUGCAAGAAUGGGCUAAUAUAGACAGCCUAGCAACUGCAGUUGAAAUGAAUGGGAAUGCUAACGGAGAGUUCUCUUGAGGUUGUGUCUAACACACUACAAGACUAUGUCUACAAAGCCUGACUUUUGGUUCUGCCAGCAUAAUGAAGUCACAACCAGAAGAGUCACAGUCAACAGUCCUUCCCAUUGAUUUCCUAUGAUCAAUCACCUUUGACCGCAAACAGCCAAUGUGUGCCUUUUUUAUGACCACUCAUCAAAUGAAGGCCAGGUUUUUUUUUUUCCAGAUUGUGUAUUUCUAAAAAGUAACCAAGUUCUGGACUUGAGGAAACAAAAAUUAAAUCAGUCAAAAAUGACUGAAAAGCUUUUUGUGCUAAAGCAGAGACUGAAUGUGUUGAUUUGUGACUUGAGGUCUGAAGUGGACUCGAAGGCAGCAAAAGAAUCUGAGCACAGGGUGCUCAAGUGUAGGGGGUCAUUGUGGAGGCAAUUAUAAAAGUAUUCUUCAUGUUAACAUACUGCUCCAAACAUAAUCAACAAAGCUUUUAACACUACAAGUAUUUGUGCAGUGCAGUGCAGCUUCAGUUGAACCAUUCCCAUUUUUGAUGUGCUGCAUGACUACUCCAGGCCCUUUUUCCUGCGUCCUUGCUAUUCGUUUAAGUCUCUACUCCAUUUCAAGUGAGAGCACUCUCAAUAGCUGUUUAUGCUUUUAAAAAUUCACAGUCUGUGGAUUCAUGGCACCUGGGAAACAUGCAUUUUAACAAUUCACAAAACAUUAAUCACCAUUGAGCCAUUUGAGAUUUUGGUAUGGAGACAAAGGUUAGGGUCGUGAUUUUUCUGUGGUAAUACAGCAUACCAUGGGUGUAUAUUAGGACCAUUUAUUGUUUGGUUAUGGGAUCUGAAGCAUCAUUUGGACCCAAAAUGAUAAUGCAUGGCAUCAGACUUAAGUGCAUAAGAUGCUCUUCGCAUGAAUGUUUGGUUCCAUGUGGAUUUAACCUUCUCUCUUUUUAACCUUCUAACAUUAUUCAGAUAAUCGUUUUGGUGUUCUCAAAUAGCCCUUACAAAAUCAGCUUUACUGUACAAAGCAAUUGAUUGCAUUGAAAAUUAAGUAGGAUACAAUUUUUUUUAUUGUUGCUGAUAUAUAUCCCUCAACUCAAGCUGAUCCAUGGCUAGUGGGCAGCUUCAACAUGUGCAGAUUAGAGAAGCUCAAACAUUGACCUUUUCCCAUGCAGACAGUGAAGUAGGAUAUGAGGAGAGUAAUUGGAUUUCAAUGGGAGAACAUACUCACCUUUUUGCUGAUGAAGAUGACGCUGCUCCUUAUGUUUUGUGUUUAAUUGGGAACAGGUGCCUUCAGUUCACAGUUAAUUUUUGUUUCCCAUGGCAACCCUGACAGGCUCACAGAAGGCUAUCCAGUAUUUAAUCAACUGAUUAUUAUGAGAGAACACAUUUGAAACAGUCACUUACAAUCAAAUGUUUUGUUUCAAGUGUAUCCUUUUAGCCAACAUAAACUACCAUUCAAAAGUGUGGGGUUGGUCAUUUUUGCUUUUGGUCACUUUUAGUGUCAGAUAUUUCUGCAGCCCUGGACUAAAAAUCACCUUCUGCAAUCCUGACAAAAACUGCUUAACCCACCUCAACCAAUCAGACCUGUAACCAGGAGAGCUGAGUAGAUUACUUUUGUAGUCUGUUACUGAUUUCAGAUUACAUGAUGAAAACUGUAGUCAGUAACAUCAUCUAGGUUACUCAUUUUUGGUAAUGUAUUCUGACUACUUUUUUAGAUGACUUUUUUCUCAAACUUGUUUUAAACUU